CAUAACGGUCAUAGCGAAGGUGUUAUAUCCGAUCCCAUUCCGAUCUCGGAAAUCAAGCCCUUCAGCGAUUCCCUAAGUACUGCCAUUCGGUGGAAACAGGGAGACGCUGUUAGUCAUUUUUU
rfam:Methanococcus aeolicus Nankai-3, complete genome.